CCCUUAGAUGUUCUGGGCCGCACGCGCGCUACACUGAUACAUGCAACGAGUUUAUAACCUUGAUCUGACGGUCUGGGUAAUCUUCAAACUGUAUCGUGUUAGGGAUCGAUUCUUGCAAUUUUUAAUCGUAAACGAGGAAUUCCUAGUAAACGCAAGUCAUCAGCUUGCAUUGAUUACGUCCCUGCCCUUUGUACACACCGCCCGUCGACUCUACCGAUUGAAUGGUUCGGUGAAAACUUUGGACUGUGGCAUUGUCCUUCAUUGGACUUCGCCGUAGGAAAUUGUUUAAACCUCAUCAUUUAGAGGAAGAAUAAGUCGGAACA
rnacentral:rRNA from 1 species